rnacentral:rRNA from 1 species
GAACGCUGGCGGCAGGCCUCAUACAUGCAAGUCGAGCGGUCCUUCGGGACAGCGGCGAACGGGUUAGUAACGCGUGGGAACGUGCCCUUUAGUAUGGAAUAGCCAUUGGAAACGAUGAUUAAUACCGUAUACGCCCCAAGGGGGAAAGAUUUAUCGCUAAAGGAUCGGCCCGCGUUAGAUUAGGUAGUUGGUAGGGUAAUGGCCUACCAAGCCUACGAUCUAUAGCUGGUUUGAGAGGAUGAUCAGCAACACUGGGACUGAGACACGGCCCAGACUUCUACGGAAGGCAGCAGUAGGGAAUCUUGGACAAUGGGCGCAAGCCUGAUCCAGCCAUGCCGCGUGAGUGAUGAAGGCCCUAGGGUUGUAAAGCUCUUUCGCCAGGGAAGAUAAUGACGGUACCUGGUAAAGAAACCCCGGCUAAC